UACUCUUGACAUCCAGAGAAUUCGCUAGAGAUAGCUUAGUGCCUUCGGGAACUCUGAGACAGGUGCUGCAUGGCUGUCGUCAGCUCGUGUUGUGAAAUGUUGGGUUAAGUCCCGCAACGAGCGCAACCCUUAUCCUUUGUUGCCAGCGAUUCGGUCGGGAACUCAAAGGAGACUGCCGGUGAUAAACCGGAGGAAGGUGGGGAUGACGUCAAGUCAUCAUGGCCCUUACGAGUAGGGCUACACACGUGCUACAAUGGCGUAUACAAAGAGAAGCGAACUCGCGAGAGCAAGCGGACCUCAUAAAGUACGUCGUAGUCCGGAUUGGAGUCUGCAACUCGACUCCAUGAAGUCGGAAUCGCUAGUAAUCGUAGAUCAGAAUGCUACGGUGAAUACGUUCCCGGGCCUUGUACACACCGCCCGUCACACCAUGGGAGUGGGUUGCAAAAGAAGUAGGUAGCUUAACCUUCGGGAGGGCGCUUACCACUUGUGUGAUUCAUGACUGGGGUGAAGUCGAACAAGG
rnacentral:rRNA from 1 species